CCCUUAGAUGUCCUGGGCCGCACGCGUGCUACACUGACGCCUACAGCGAGUACUUCCCAGCCCCGAGAGGUGGCUGGUAAUCAGCAAUAGGCGUCGUGAUGGGGAUAGAUCUUUGGAAUUAUGGAUCUUGAACGAGGAAUGCCUAGUAAGCGAAGGUCAUUAGCCUGCGCUGAUUAAGUCCCUGCCCUUUGUACACACCGCCCGUCGCUCCUACCGAUUUCGAGUGGUCCGGUGAAUCUUUCGGACUGCGCGCGGCCUCGUGCCGUGUCGCGGAAAGUCAGGUAAACCUUAUCACUUAGAGGAAGGAGAAGUCGUAACA
rnacentral:rRNA from 1 species